UGGGGAAUAUUGCACAAUGGGCGCAAGCCUGAUGCAGCCAUGCCGCGUGUGUAAAGAAGGCCUUAGGGUUGUAAAGCACUUUCAGCGAGGAGGAAGGGUUCAGUGUUAAUAGCACUGUUCAUUGACGUUACUCGCAGAAGAAGCACCGGCUAACUCCGUG
rnacentral:rRNA from 1 species